GUCCAGACUCCUACGGGAGGCAGCAGUGGGGGAUAUUGCACAAUGGGGGAAACCCUGAUGCAGCGACGCCGCGUGGGCGAAGAAGUAUUUCGGUAUGUAAAGCCCUAUCAGCAGGGAAGAAGAAAUGACGGUACCUGAGUAAGAAGCACCAGCUAAAUACGUGCCAGCAGCCGCGGUAAUACGUAGGGGGCAAGCGUUAUCCGGAUUUACUGGGUGUAAAGGGGGCGCAGACGGCGAUGCAAGCCAGGAGUGAAAGCCCGGGGCCCAACCCCGGGACUGCUCUUGGAACUGCGUGGCUGGAGUGCAGGAGGGGCAGGCGGAAUUCCUGGUGUAGCGGUGAAAUGCGUAGAUAUCAGGAGGAACACCGGUGGCGAAGGCGGCCUGCUGGACUGCAACUGACGUUGAGGCCCGAAAGCGUGGGGAGCAAACAGGAUUAGAUACCCCUGUAA
rnacentral:rRNA from 1 species